rnacentral:rRNA from 2 species
UGCAUAUCAAAUAAGCGGAGGAAAAGAAACCAACCGGGAUUGCCUUAGUAACGGCGAGUGAAGCGGCAAAAGCUCAAAUUUGAAAUCUGGCGUCUUCGACGUCCGAGUUGUAAUUUGAAGAAGGCGACUUUGUAGCUGGUCCUUGUCUAUGUUCCUUGGAACAGGACGUCAUAGAGGGUGAGAAUCCCGUGUGGCGAGGAUCCCAGUUAUUUGUAAAGUGCUUUCGACGAGUCGAGUUGUUUGGGAAUGCAGCUCUAAGUGGGUGGUAAAUUCCAUCUAAAGCUAAAUAUUGGCGAGAGACCGAUAGCGAACAAGUACAGUGAUGGAAAGAUGAAAAGAACUUUGAAAAGAGAGUGAAAAAGUACGUGAAAUUGUUGAAAGGGAAGGGCAUUUGAUCAGACAUGGCGUUUGCUUCGGCUUUCGCUGGGCCAGCAUCAGUUUUAGCGGUUGGAUAAAUCCUCGGGAAUGUGGCUCUGCUUCGGUAGAGUGUUAUAGCCCGUGGGAAUACAGCCAGCUGGGACUGAGGAUUGCGACUUUUGUCAAGGAUGCUGGCGUAAUGGUUAAAUGCCGCCCGUCUUGAACCACGGAACCCA